CAUCUUGUGGUGUGUUGAUGGUUCCAAUGCAGUUUAUGAUCCACAUUUAUUCUAAAUUUAUAGUGUUCGAAUUUUACUGUUCCAGACUUGUGUAUCUAUUAAUACCUUUGUUUCCUUUUUGUAGAAUGUCUGUCAUUUUUCUAACAUUUAGAACUAAUGGAAUCUUGAUCUUUUCAGGUUAGUUAAAGAAAGGUGGGGAUCUCUUGGUUAGCUUAACUGCAUACCAUAACUGCAUAGCCGUGUGCCUUUGCCCUCUCCAUCAAUGAGAAUGUAGUAAUAGAGGCAGAUGACAUUGAUCUUGAUGAUCAGGGUGAGAAACCAAAAGGGAACAAUGUGAUGCCAACGCUAAAUAUAAAAAAAAUAUUCCAACAAGUUCCAUUCGUAUAAAGGCGUUGAUUUGAAGAAUGCAGCUGAAAGUGAUUUAGGUGUCAUAUUUUCCAGCCCUUGAUUUCAGCAAUCUCCGUGUUUUUUUUAUGUAUAUAAUUUUUAAAAUGUAUAAUUUCAAUAAUCAGUUAUUAUUAUUAUCAUCUUUGUUUUUUUCCAAUGAAAUCUUGCUUUAUAUAUUACCCAAAGAUUGCUGGAUUCUCUGAAAUUCUGACUAAGAAAUUCUGACCAAAUUUAUGUAACAAAAUAUUAGAAAGUGUAUUUAUGUUAAGCAAUCUAUUUAUGUAAGGUCGUACAGGGAUUUCAGCAAUCUAAUUAGACCAUUUUAAGGAA